GCUAAGUCCUUAAAUCUACUUCAGGGUUCAACUGGUUGAGCUGAAUAUUGGACCGGUUGAACCUAAAGUGGUUUGGCUACUACUUCAUCCUCAACUGAUUGAACUUUUGGCUGGACCAAUUGAGCAUUGCUUCUAAACUCUUUGUUCGCCUUCAAUCGGUAGAGAAAAAUCCUCGACUAGUUGAGUUGUUCCCAUUUUGGCCUCUACUUUAUGCUCAAUCAGUAUAACCUACAGGUUCAACCAGUUAAAGCUUGAAAAUUCUGAUUCCCAGCUCUUGCACUCCAAUUCAUUUCCAUUUUGCCUUCUUGCCUCUUCCAAUCUCUUCAACUUUCUUUUUGAACUACAAAAUGAUUUAAACAAAUUGUGCCAAACAACGAUUAUUUAGAACAAAUAUUUAUGCAUAAUAAUACUAAAAUAUGGGGGAAAUCAUGUUUAAAAAAAAUAUAUGGUGUCAAUCACAUUUUCAACUACAAUUGGAAUCUUUUUAGUCAAGUAUUCAGCGAGAUUCAGCGUAGUAAAGUCAACAUCAUCUUCUGCUUCUAUCUCUUGAAAUCAACUCCACCAAACUUUACUGGUUUACACAUAUGAGCCAUCAAAAUCGAUGGAACACCGGGGGUUAGAACAGUAGCUCUCUUAGAAACUGGAAUUUGAGUGCUUGUUUCCACAACCUUUGUCAACAUAUUUUCUUAAAAAAGAUCAAUCACAUAUCAAUGUAUAGAUCUUAACAAUAUCGACACCAUAAAUAAAUUAACAAUCUAAACAUAAUCUCAAUUCAUUUUAUAGAAAAAUUCAAUUUAUUGAACUCUCGACCAGUUGAGAACAAUUCUCUAACUGGGUCAAGGUAAGCAAAAUACAUUUUCUGCAUCCUCGACCAGUUGAGAAAAACCUCUAACCAGUCCAACUUAAGUAGAGACCUCAAGCUGAUUCAACAAAGAUCAACCGCGCACGACAGCCUAAGGCCGUAGUCUCUCAACUCUGACCAAGAUCAAACUACACACGGCUGACCACAGGAUUAAAU
rnacentral:lncRNA from 1 species